rnacentral:rRNA from 1 species
CAGCGUCACGAGUGGCAACCAUAUUUAUUGGGCCUAAAGCGUCCGUAGCCGGUUUGAUAAGUCUUUUGUGAAAUCGUUGAGCUUAACUUAACGCUGUGCAAGAGAUACUGUCAGACUUGGAAUUGGGAAGAGUCAGAGGUAUUCUGGGGGGAGCGGUAAAAUGCUAUAAUCCUCGGAGGACCACCAGUGGCGAAAGCGUCUGACUAGAACAAAUUCGACGGUGAGGGACGAAAGCCAGGGGAGCAAAACGGAUUAGAGACCCGUGUAGUC